AGUGAACGCUGGCGGUAGGCCUAACACAUGCAAGUCGAACGGCAGCACAGUAAGAGCUUGCUCUUACGGGUGGCGAGUGGCGGACGGGUGAGGAAUACAUCGGAAUCUACUUUUUCGUGGGGGAUAACGUAGGGAAACUUACGCUAAUACCGCAUACGACCUACGGGUGAAAGCAGGAGAUCUUCGGACCUUGCGCGAUUGAAUGAGCCGAUGUCGGAUUAGCUAGUUGGCGGGGUAAAGGCCCACCAAGGCAACGAUACGUAGCUGGUCUGAGAGGAUGAUCAGCCACACUGGAACUGAGACACGGUCCAGACUCCUACGGGAGGCAGCAGUGGGGAAUAUUGGACAAUGGGCGAAAGCCUGAUCCAGCCAUACCGCGUGGGUGAAGAAGGCCUUCGGGUUGUAAAGCCCUUUUGUUGGGAAAGAAAAGCAGCAGGUUAAUACCCCGCUGUUCUGACGGUACCCAAAGAAUAAGCACCGGCUAACUUCGUG
rnacentral:rRNA from 1 species